rnacentral:rRNA from 1 species
GAUGAACGCUGGUGGCGUGCCUAAUACAUGCAAGUCGAGCGAACAGACGAGGAGCUUGCUCCUCUGACGUUAGCGGCGGACGGGUGAGUAACACGUGAAUAACCUACCUAUAAGACUGGGAUAACUUCGGGAAACCGGAGCUAAUACCGGAUAAUAUAUUGAACCGCAUGGUUCAAUAGUGAAAGACGGUUUUGCUGUCACUUAUAGAUGGAUCCGCGCCGCAUUAGCUAGUUGGUAAGGUAACGGCUUACUAAGGCAACGAUGCGUAGCCGACCUGAGAGGGUGAUCGGCCACACUGGAACUGAGACACGGUCCAGACUCCUACGGGAGGCAGCAGUAGGGAAUCUUCCGCAAUAGGCGAAAGCCUGACGGAGCAACGCCGCGUGAGUGAUGAAGGUCUUCGGAUCGUAAAACUCUGUUAUUAGGGAAGAACAAAUGUGUAAGUAACUAUGCACGUCUUGACGGUACCUAAUCAGAAAGCCACGGCUAACUACGUGCCAGCCGCCGCCGUAAAAC